rnacentral:rRNA from 1 species
AUUGAACGCUGGCGGCAGGCCUAACACAUGCAAGUCGAGCGGAUGAAGGGAGCUUGCUCCUGGAUUCAGCGGCGGACGGGUGAGUAAUGCCUAGGAAUCUGCCUGGUAGUGGGGGAUAACGUCCGGAAACGGGCGCUAAUACCGCAUACGUCCUGAGGGAGAAAGUGGGGGAUCUUCGGACCUCACGCUAUCAGAUGAGCCUAGGUCGGAUUAGCUAGUUGGUGGGGUAAAGGCCUACCAAGGCGACGAUCCGUAACUGGUCUGAGAGGAUGAUCAGUCACACUGGAACUGAGACACGGUCCAGACUCCUACGGGAGGCAGCAGUGGGGAAUAUUGGACAAUGAGCGAAAGCCUGAUCCAGCCAUGCCGCGUGUGUGAAGAAGGUCUUCGGACUGUAAAGCACUUUAAGUUGGGAGGAAGGGCAGUAAGUUAAUACCUUGCUGUUUUGACGUUACCAACAGAAUAAGCACCGGCUAACUUCGUG